rnacentral:rRNA from 1 species
CCUACGGGGGACAGCAGUGGGGGAUAUUGCACAAUGGGGGAAACCCUGAUGCAGCGACGCCGCGUGGGUGAAGAAGCGCCUCGGCGCGUAAAGCCCUGUCAGCAGGGAAGAAAAUGACGGUACCUGAAGAAGAAGCCCCGGCUAACUACGUGCCAGCAGCCGCGGUAAUACGUAGGGGGCAAGCGUUAUCCGGAUUUACUGGGUGUAAAGGGGGCGCAGACGGCGAUGCAAGCCAGGAGUGAAAGCCCGGGGCCCAACCCCGGGACUGCUCUUGGAACUGCGUGGGUAGAGUGCAGGAGGGGCAGGCGGAAUUCCUGGUGUAGCGGUGAAAUGCGUAGAUAUCAGGAGGAACACCGGUGGCGAAGGCGGCCUGCUGGACUGCAACUGACGUUGAGGCCCGAAAGCGUGGGGAGCAAACAGGAUUAGAUACCCCAGUAGUC